rnacentral:lncRNA from 1 species
CUGGGCAGGAACAAGGUCCUUAUGCUCCAGAGGAAGGGAGAGGAGGUGAACAACUGAACAAGCAGCGUGAGAUCUUCGCAGACAGCGGGAUGAUCCCUCUCGUCUGCAUACCCUUUCUCACCUGCUGGUAGGCCUCGCGCUGCUGCUCACGCUGGCAGACGGGCAGUGUGGGCUGGGGGCCAACAUGGGUGGGACAGGGCCCCUUCACCUCCACACACUCUACCUGCUCCUCUCCUGGGCUGCUCGAGGAUCUUUGAGACACUCGUCCUCUGAGAGCCCAGGACACCCUCUCUUGGAGGUUGGCCCCACGGCUUUCCAGGACCAAGAGGCUCUGACAUUGCACGCAGGGCUCCAGGGGCAGCUGGCCUCAACCUGAGGUGGCCACCCCAUCAUCCCACACUCAGAAGCCACAUGGGGUGAGGAGGCAAGUGGCCGAGCCUGCUGACACCCUGUGGAGAGAGGCCUGAACCCAUGGGACCCCGGGCUGAGCCCUAAAAGCCAGAGGGACCAACAGAAGAGCUGGAGAUCCUCUUCCCUGAUGAGAGCUACACCAAACACGAGAACCAGGAGCACCCCAGGAAGCCCCAGUGAGGAAGCCUGGGCGGGAGUGGCCGGGAAGCUGCACUUCCCCAGGCAUGGUAGGAUGUGGGUGGGGGCACAGGAGUCAUCAGCCUCCCAACAGUGCCUAUAAGUGUCAGUCCCGUGGCCUGUGAACACUCUAUCCACAGACCAACCUCUGCGGGUACCCCCACGGCAGCUGGGGUCCCUCUGGCUCAGGUCCCAGACUCAUCACCUGGAUGUGUGAGGGCCCAUAUGUGAAGGGGGACGAGGACCCCGGCCUUGCAGGGACAUUCUGAGAAUCUGUGUGUGAGACACUGGGCACAGGGCCACGGCCCAGUCCUUCUGGGCUCCUGUUUUCUUCUCCUCCUUCGUCCCAGCAGCCAACCUCAGCACCAAGGCUGCUCCUAAAAGCAGACUCCUCUGCCCAUGCCCAGGCCUUCCUGCAGGCCCACAGUGUUCCUGAAGGCCUCCGAUCAAGAGCCCUGACUCUUGGUUAAUGAUGAAUUUUGCCUAGCAACAAUUGCCAAGCAACAGCUCUUCAGAAAGAGAUGUCAAGGUAUUAAACAGAUACUCCACGGCUGGGAUGAGGAAAGACAGGUCAGUGGGUGCUGGGCCAGGCCUGCAUGCGGGACGUCCUCUGUCCAGGCUGUGCUGGUGUUGGGGGCUCCAGUUGGUCCACAGACCUGCUGUGGGGCCUUGGGAAACUCAUGCUGCCCCCUGGACAUCAAACUGGACUCACAGCUGAGCUGUCUUCCAUGAAAGGAGGCAGGGAAGUCAAGAUGGGAACAAGGGCACGUGAUGCUUCUGGAGCCCUGAAAGGCUGUGGCCACCUAACGGGGAGCUCUGAUGGGUUUCCCUGAGUCGCAUCAGGGGACAGCUUGGCCCCGGCAUUACCUGUUUUUCUCUCCUUCAAACCCUUGGCCCUCUCAGUGCCUGUCCCUGUACGGGACCCGCCACUCACCUGCUCAUUCAUCCACUCAUUCGGUGAGUGCUGACCACUGACUCUGUGUGUGUCAGUCACACUCAGGGAGGAGGAGCCAUGGACCUAAUGGAGCUAUGACAUGGUGUGUCAGAUGGUGGGGCUCAGUGAGCACAGGUAAAGCUGGGAGUGAACCACACACGGAGGCCCGCAGGCUGGCCAUCCCCUUAAGAGGUAUCCCCUGACCCUUGCCAUCAUUCCUGCCCGCACUGACCUCUGUGCCACCAAAUGGCCAAAUGGCUUCCAUAAGAUCUAUACCUACAGCCAGGUGCAAACACACUCACACUUAUGUGUGCAUAUACCUACCUAUCAUAUAUGUCAUCCAUGUAUCCGUCAUACAUUCCCCAACUAAAGGGCAUCCACCACUUCUCUGUACCUGCUGUCAAGUCCACACCCUCACUAUGGCCUUCAAGGCCUGCUCCCAGCCCUGCCCCUGGACACCGUCCCCCAUGUCUCCCCAGCCCAGUACCAAGGGGAAAGGCACCCCCUCCCAAAGGCAACCUCUGGAGGUGUCUG